rnacentral:misc_RNA from 1 species
CUGGCUAUAACAUAGCUUGAUUUAAUUGAAUAAUACCCAUUGUUGCUGUAAUGCCAAAGAUACUCACCAGUAGAGCAAGGAAAUUUGACACCAUCCUCAUGAAAGUUUUCACUAAGAGUUGAGAUGUGCCAGGAAUGAGGUGAUUGCUCUAUUAAUUUGUGUGCCCAGACCACAUUCAAAUCAUGAUUACCUUUAACCCGCGG